rnacentral:rRNA from 1 species
UACAGAGGUGGCAAGCGUUGUUCGGAAUUACUGGGCGUAAAGGGCGCGUAGGCGGCCUUCUAAGUCGGACGUGAAAGCCCCAGGCUUAACCUGGGAACUGCGUCCGAUACUGGGAGGCUUGGAUUCGGGAGAGGGAUGUGGAAUUCCAGGUGUAGCGGUGAAAUGCGUAGAUAUCUGGAGGAACACCGGUGGCGAAGGCGGCAUCCUGGACCGAGAUCGACGCUGAGGCGCGAAAGCGUGGGGAGCAAACGGG